CGAUGGGAAGUUAAGUGAGUAUUUUGGCUUUCUUUGAUAUGAAUGUAACGAUUUAAUAUCAUAAUAUCAUACGAAAGCUGAAGAUACUUUCUCUUCUUGCUGUAUC